AAGACAUUGAUCAAUAGCUGAUUUGAGAGGAUGAUCAGCCACAUUGGGACUGAGACACGGCCCAAACUCCUACGGGAGGCAGCAGUAGGGAAUCUUGCACAAUGGAGGAAACUCUGAUGCAGCGAUGCCGCGUGAGUGAAGAAGGCCCUUGGGUUGUAAAGCUCUUUCGUCGGGGAAGAAAAUGACUGUACCCGAAUAAGAAGGUCCGGCUAA
rnacentral:rRNA from 1 species